rnacentral:rRNA from 1 species
CCUACGGGAGGCAGCAGUGGGGAAUAUUGCACAAUGGGCGAAAGCCUGAUGCAGCAACGCCGCGUGCGCGAUGAAGGUCUUCGGGUUGUAAAGUUCUGUCCUCAGGGAAGAUCAUUACGGUACUUGAGUAAUAACCCCCUGCUAACUACGUGCCAGCAGCCGCGGUCAUACGAAGGGGGCUAGCGUUAUCCGGAAUUACUGGGCGUAAAGUGUGCGUAGGUGGUUUCUUAAGUCAGAGGUGAAAGGCUACGGCUCAACCGUAGUAAGCCUUUGAAACUAGGAAACUUGAGUGCAGGAGAGGAGAGUGGAAUUCCUAGUGUAGCGGUGAAAUGCGUAGAUAUUAGGAGGAACACCAGUUGCGAAGGCGGCUCUCUGGACUGUAACUGACGCUGAGGGACGAAAGCGUGGGGAGCAAACAGGAUUAGAUACCCUGGUAGUC